GUCCUGGGGAACAGGUAAUGGAGGUCAUCAGGUGGAUCCACGUCUGGGUGUGGGACAGAACCCCUAGGUCCUGGAGAACAGGUAAUGGAGGACAUCAGGUGGAUCCACGUCUGGGUGUUGGGCAGAACCCCUAGGUCCUGGAGAACAGGUAAUGGAGGACAUCAGGUGGAUCCACGUCUGGGUGUUGGGCAGAACCCCUAGGUCCUGGAGAACAGGUAAUGGAGGACAUCAGGUGGAUCCACGUCUGGGUGUUGGGCAGAACCCCUAGGUCCUGGAGAACAGGUAAUGGAGGACAUCAGGUGGAUCCACGUCUGGGUGUUGGGCAGAACCCCUAGGUCCUGGGGAACAGGAAAUGGAGGACAUCAGGUGGAUCCACGUCUGGGUGUUGGGCAGAACCCC